CGUCUAUAUACGUAUAGCAUAUCAAUAAGCGGAGGAAAAGAAACUAACAAGGAUUCCCUUAGUAACGGCGAGUGAAGCGGGAAGAGCUCAAAUUUGAAAUCUUCAAGGUUCUACCUUGACGAAUUGUAGUUUAAAGAAGUGUUUUCUGUUAGAUGAGUAGCAAAAGUUCCUUGGAAUGGGACAUCAUAGAGGGUGAGAAUCCCGUAUUUGGUUAUUCAUUCUAGCUUUGUGAUACACUUUCAAAGAGUCGGAUUGUUUGGGAAUGCAGUCCAAAAUGGGUGGUAAAUUUCAUCUAAAGCUAAAUAUUGGCGAGAGACCGAUAGCGAACAAAUACCGUGAGGGAAAGAUGAAAAGAACUUUGAAAAGAGAGUUAAACAGUACGUGAAAUUGUCAAAAGGGAAGCGUUUGACACCAGUGUUGUUUUUCCGAAAAUCAAUUACGAAUGGCUUGAUUUUGUGUUGUAUUGACCUUAUCAGCUUUCUGCACUUUUUUCGAGCCUUUCUUAAUGCACUUUUCGGUUAACAAGUCAACAUCAAUUUCUUUUGUUGUAUAAGGGUAUGAGGAAGGUGGCUUUCUUUUCGGAGAAAGUGUUUAUAGCCUUGUGCCUCUGCAAUCGGAGAGAUUGAGGUCUGCAGCGUAGAUCCUUCGGGGUUAGAUACGUUUGUGCUAAGUUAGUAGCUUUUCAUAGACAACUUGUUGACUAUGUUUAGUCAUUGUAGGCUUACUCGCUUACUGCUAUUUUACCUACGCUUAGGAUGUUGACUGAUAUGUAGUCGU
rnacentral:rRNA from 1 species